CAUCACAUGGAUGGUUGUCUAUUAACUUGUUCAAAAAAGUAUCAGGAGUUGUCAAGGCAGAGAGAGAGAGUGUGUGUGUUUGCAAAAGGGGGUAAAGUAGUUUGCUGGCUCUUUAAGACCGAGGUGGAGAGAGAGAGAGAGAGAGAGAGAGAGAGAAAGAGAGAGAGCGGCAGGCAGAGAAAAGGGAAAAAGGAGGAAGAAGUUUUUUAAAAUCAAGAUUCCGGCCGUAAUAAUAGCAGUUAUUAGCACUAUUAAUCCAUCAGCGAAGAGGAAGAUCCUGAUCUUGAUCCAAGUGUGUUUUUGGGGAGUCCCCCUCCCCCCUUUCCUACCCCUCCCUAGGAAAAAAAAAAAAAAAGUCCGGGUUGGGACUCCGCUGCGGCUGCUCCUCGCUUCUCUGCUCAAGGCUGGUUCCAGGCAAAAGUAGUUUGAAUGUACAACAUGAUGGAAACCGAGCUGAAGCCUCCCGCCCCCCAGCAAACUUCGGGGGGAGGCACAGGCAACUCCAACUCGGCCGCCAACAACCAGAAGAACAGCCCGGACCGGGUCAAGCGCCCGAUGAACGCGUUCAUGGUGUGGUCCCGCGGGCAGCGGCGGAAAAUGGCCCAGGAGAACCCGAAGAUGCACAACUCCGAGAUCAGCAAGCGGCUCGGGGCGGAGUGGAAACUUUUAUCCGAGGCGGAAAAGAGACCCUUCAUUGACGAAGCCAAGCGUCUCAGAGCUCUGCACAUGAAGGAGCACCCGGAUUAUAAAUACCGACCCCGGAGGAAAACCAAGACCCUGAUGAAGAAGGAUAAGUACACGUUGCCGGGGGGCUUACUGGCACCGGGCACCAAUACCAUGACGACUGGGGUAGGGGUUGGGGCCACCUUGGGAGCUGGGGUGAACCAGAGGAUGGACAGUUACGCGCACAUGAACGGCUGGACCAACGGAGGCUAUGGGAUGAUGCAAGAGCAGCUCGGCUACCCGCAGCACCCGGGCUUGAACGCGCACAACGCGGCGCAGAUGCAGCCCAUGCACCGCUACGACGUGAGCGCCCUGCAGUACAACUCCAUGACCAGCUCGCAGACUUACAUGAACGGAUCGCCUACCUACAGCAUGUCCUACUCCCAGCAAGGGACCCCGGGCAUGGCCCUGGGCUCCAUGGGCUCGGUGGUCAAGACGGAAUCCAGCUCCAGUCCCCCCGUAGUCACUUCCUCGUCUCAUUCAAGGGCUCCUUGCCAAGCUGGGGACCUUCGGGACAUGAUCAGCAUGUAUCUACCAGGUGCUGAAGUACCAGAACCAGCUGCCCCAAGCAGACUUCAUAUGUCCCAACACUACCAGAGUGCACCUGUUCCUGGCACAGCCAUUAAUGGCACACUCCCUCUAUCACAUAUCGCGGUGUAGCCCCGUUUCGGACACUCUCUGCAGCCGGCCACAGCCCCAAAGAGAAGCGGUGGCGCCCGCCGUGUAGAAGGAGAGAUCCAGCGUCCGUGCCAGGGUCUGUGUGAUCUCCUCCCGUGAGAGGCAUCUCAGCAGCUCAGCCCCCUCUGCCAUCUCAGCACUGCCAUGGAGAAGCCCAGGAGGAGCAGAGCAGUGGCUGAGCAGCAAUUUGAAUAUCCAUAUUUAACUCUUCAAACAACAGAAGAUACUUCAGAACCGUGUGAUGCACCAGUUAGAGCCAGAGCAGCCCAAGAGAGAAGCAAACAAUUAAAACUUUUAUGUAUUUGAAUCUCGAUAGACAUCCCUACGAGGUUCUCAUAUCCUGGCAAGAUGCUACAAAUCCCAUGCGACAAAGAUCAGAGGGAAAUACUUAUUUGAAGAAACCUCUGUCAUUAGCUGUGCUGAGAUAAUCCAAGAGGACAAAAAGCUAUAAAAUGAAACAGGGAACUGUGAGCAUGUGCGCGCACAGCCCUGCGUGUCCCUGUACCACUGCUGGCUCACUGGCUCUCCGGAGCAGUUUCAGACACGGGUGACAACGACACUCAGCUCCCGUCCCUCUGUUUCUGUGCGGGGCCUCCUGUUCCCUCCCAGAGCUGCUCCCGGCACAGUGCUCUGCCAGCACCGCCCCAGCCUCAUGACUGGGAUGCGAUAUCGGAAUUCCAGGAGCUCUUUCCCCGCUGCUGACUUGGAGCAGCAGCGAUUUUGGGGGUGAAGGGGCUGCGUGGGGGCCGCUCGGGGUCUCGGGGUGCGGAACGGCCGCGGGAGGCGCCGCUGGAGCCGGAGCUCCUGCGGGAACACCCGAGGGGUCCCUGCAGGAGUUCAUCCAUGUCCCACAUCCGUGCUGAGCAUCCAGCCGGGGCUGCCUGGGGCAGGGGAGGGCAGCUCUGCCUGCUGGAACUGAUCCUGCCCAUCCCCUCGGACCCGGUGUGAAACCGCACAGAGUUUGUCCGAAACGUGAAUUUGAAACGCUUUCAAAUUGACAACCUCCUUUUAAAUAAAAACCUUUAUGUUAAGCAAAAGGCAUGUGUGCCUCUACAAAUAAACGGAAUUAUGGUUCUAAGAUUUGACUUAAUCCUGGAGUUCUUAGACUGUACAGUAAGUAGAAAAGAAGGAUGAUUGCUUGGAGGAGCAGGGGUUAGCAGGAUCAGGCUCCAUCUUACCACUUCUUGCUCAUUUUCCUUCUGGCAUUUAAUAUACCUUUCUCAGCACUACCACUGGUUGUUUAUAACAAAGGCAAAGUAACUUCAUGUCUAUUACCUGAAAAUAACGAGGGAUGGUAUAGAGCAUGCUCACCCAGCUUUCCUGCUGGAAAAGUUUGAGCAUUGCUAAACAAACAAAAAAUGCUCUUCCUCCAAAUGUAUUCUUAUGCUAAAGUCAUGUCCUUUUGAAAUGAAUUUCAGGACUUUUCUCAAAUGUUUUGUAAUUAUUUGUUCUUUUUCUACACUGUUUUCUGUGCGAAAAUGUAUUUAAACAUCUGCAUUGAGGUUUCAAAGGUUCUGAAGGAAGAAGUUUACAGAGUAAUGCCAUUUGUAUUUGUUAAGUUUCUGAAAAUGGAAUUUCUA